rnacentral:sRNA from 1 species
UUGCACCCGGAGGCAGGGCCAAGCCUGGGGCAGCCACGGAAGUAAAGCAUCGGCCUCUCCCGGCUCUGUGCUUUUCCCUACGAUGGCACUCAUGGAAGACCCUCGCUCUGCCGGGCACUGUGGAGCUUGGACCUGCAGCUAGCGGCCUUCAUGAGUGGGACGCCUGCGUCGCCCGCUCCCCUCACCCCCCACGGCUUCCUGCGGCUCCAGGGCAGGCGCGGCCACAGCGGGCUUGGGGGGCAAGGGCUCACAGGACUCAUGCGGCAGGCAUUUCCUGGGCUCGGCCUACAUGGCUGGGAGGGUGACGGUGCCGGGGUUCUGGAGCUGGGGAGCUGCACCCCCAUGUUUGGAUUCAAGCGGAGUCUAGGCCAGGAGGCAGAACAGGAAGAGUCACGCCCUUUGCGGGGCGGGUGGGCAGCAUCCUGGGGCCCCUCCAGCAUGCAGCCCCCAUCCCACACACACAGCAGGAGGAGGCACCACAGCCCCGAUACUCACACAAACCCCCUCUUCACGCCUUCCUCACGGCUGCCCUGGAGGGAGGCACUAGUUAUCCCCAGUUUAUAGAGAAGGAAAGUGAGGCUCGGGUGGCGGUAGCUCUGGCCUGGCGUGGGGGAUUCAGGCAGGAGUGACCAUGGAUGCCAAGGGCCAGGGGGUCUAGAAGCCUCUGGGGCCUGCAGGGUUAGGAAGCAGGUUGGGGGCAGGAGGUGGGCAGAGCUACCACUGAGGCCUGGAGUGAAGGUCAGAGGGUCUGGGUGGAGGAGUCAGGUAGCCCUGCCCCAGGACAUUCACCAGAAGAGCCAAAGCCAGCCCCUGCCCCACCCCAGGCCCUCAGGCACACCUGCUGCCAGCCUUCACCAAGCGCCGUGGACACGCAAGGCUAGUCCUCUGUGCCCAUCCUGGGCAGCCAGGACGAGUGCCACGUGACUGACCACAACCCAGGCCCUGGCACUGCAGCUGGGGCCUGGCGUGCCCUGCCCAGCCCCCCAGCCCAGCCCCAAGAAAUACAAAGCCCGGCCUGGCUCAGCCCAGUGAGCUCUGCUCACUUCAGAAGUGUGUGGUCCGGGCACCCCAGGGGGAGAAUUUGGGGCCUGGGGCCCGGUCUGUGCCUGCUGGAGUGAAACGAGCUGGUGGCCCCUUGUUCUUGGUGUCCCACUGGGUGCUCGUCACAAAGCCAGGGGGGCAGGGGGGCAGGGUCCCAAGAACCUACUAGAGCCACCCGCACCACCCACUCCCUGUGCCACCUGCCCUGUGGCCACCCCAGAGGCGUGUGUGGGCACCAGGGCGGGGAGGGUGUGCCUCCCUGCACCGCCUCAGCAUGAGGCCCCUGGGACUUCUCCAGAGGCCUGGGAAAGACCCCACCAUGGAUUUUGGGAAAAGAGCAAAACAGCUAUGAGGGGCAGGUAUCAGGCCGUCCCAUCCUGCAGGCGUGGAAACAAGAGCUGGCACCAAAUGACCUGCCACUGUGUGCAAGAGGCCUGAGGCAGAGCUGGUCUCCUGGCCAGAGCUGCCCAGGUUGCCCCCCGCCCAAGUCCUAGCCUGUGCCCCCACCUCCCUGGCAGCAGCUGUGCUCACACUGUGGGAACUCCAAAGCCCCCGCUGCAGAGGGACCAGCAUGGCCCCCACCUGGCUGGCCAGCAGCCUCCCCAACUUUUCCCUUCUCAGGGGCCAUGGCAGGGCUGCCCCAAGGGGAGAGGACGGGCAGAGAGGAGGGAAUGGCAGCAGCCAGGGUGGAGGCUUCCUGGGGUUCCGCUUCCUGGGGUUCCCCGUCCUGGGUCACCUUUAUGCUCUGUCCUUGGAGUCCUGGAACAGGAAUCCAGGAGGUUCCCUUAGACACCAUCAGAUAGAUAAACUGAGGCCACAGACCCUUCCUUCCUGGCCAGUGAACCCAGGACCACGGGUGGGAUGGUGGCCUCUCCCUACCUGUGCUUGGCAGGGCUACCCUGCUGGCCCCGUGGAGACUGUGAGAUGAUGGGGGGGGGGGGUGUUUCUCCAGGACUGUUCUCACCCCAUGGGACACAUCCCCACGCCCACCCCAUGAGCCGGACGCCAGGCUGUCUCCCAUGAGGGGCAGAGGCCAUGUUCUCGGAGGGAUGAGCUGGGGGGUGGGGUUGCUGUGGGCUGAUGCCACUCAGGACUUCAGUCUGAAGCAAAGGGCUGAGCACGGCGAGUGGGAGUGGCCUGCCCAGGCCUGGGGACAACAGCAGCUGCAGGGCCCUGAGGGAGGGACGGGGCUGAGCAGCCUCUGGAGGCGGGGUCUGGAUAGCAUAGGUAUGGGUUGCUGUGAAGAUCUGUGCAGACACAAAUGUGUGUGCGAUACAGAGGUGAAGCUGCAGGUGUGUAGGCAUGUGGGUGUAUGCACAGGUGUGUGCAGGUGUAGAUGAAGGCAUGCAUGCAUGUGAGGUGAACAGACACGUCCCGGUGUGUGUAGGCUGAGGUAUGUGGCAGGUGUGUGCUGGUGUGGACAGGUGUGCUCAGUGCCUCUGCUCAGGGUCACCCCUUUGCUGCGAUGCCACCUGGCACCAGAGGUGGGUGUGGGUCAGAGCUGGCUCCCAGCUGCCCUCCUGGCUGCCCCCUGCCAGUGUGGGGAUGGGCCAGGGACAGGUGUCGGUCAGGGAUGUGCCCUGGCUGGGCUCACCAGGAUGAGGUGCUGGAGGUGACUAGGAAGGCCGGAAAGACUCAGCUCAUCCUGGAGCCCCCACACCUCCGGGCCCCUGCGGAGCUGGGAGGGGCAGGGCUGGGGGGGGUGACGUCUGCCUGGCUGUGUCCUUUGCAGACGAGAUGAAUGACCACCAGAACACUCUCUCCUACGUCCUCAUCAACCCUCCGCCCGACACGAGGCUGGAGCCCAGCGACAUUGUCUAUCUCAUCCGCUCGGAUCCCCUGGCUCACGUGGCCAGCAGCUCCCAGAGCCGGAAGAGCAGCUGCAGCCACAAGUUGUCGUCCUGCAACCCCGAGACUCGUGACGAGACACAGCUCUGAGCCAGCCCUGCAUGGAGCUCGGGCCACCAAGCCCAGGGUCCUCAGCAAGGACGUAGAGGAGCGUGUGAGGACACGGUGGCACUAGCAUGACCCUGGGGAUGCCCACACUCUGGUCACCAUGACUCCUGGGACUCCACCCUGGAAAGGAGCCCCUCAUGCGGGGGGGGAGGGCCAGCUUACCCCUGGGCACCUGCAGGCUAGUGAGGAGAGUUUUUUAACCUAUUUUUACACAUCGAUGCAGUCCACUUCUCUUUACACAGAUGUACCGCAACUCGUGACCAGGGCUGGCUGGGAGGGCAACGCAGGGACCGGACGCCCUGCAGGGCCGAGCCCAGGCUGUGCUGGAGGGUGGGGCUGGGGUGCAUGGGGAGGGGAACAGAACCCAGCACCCAGGAGCCCCGCGUGGGCCACACCCAACUCAGAGCCGGCCUGAGCUUUCACGGCGAAGCAGCCUCACUUCCUUCCAGCCAAGGGCUGGGGGCCAGGGCUGCUGUUCUGCACUCUGUGGGGCGGGUGAGGGGGACCCUGGGCUGUUUGCUGUCCUGAGCCCCUUCUGGAAGUUAGAAGCAGCAAAGGGCCCAGGGAAGCCGGGCAUGUGAUAGGGGUGCGUCCCCAGGUCCCCCAGAGGGCCCUGUUGCCGAGGACCUUUCUGAAGGAAGCAGAAGACGCCGUUUCCUCUACUUCACACGGAACUUUCCCGGCCACUGCGUCUGGGGGGCGUUGGGCAGAAGAUGGUGCAUUUCCAUGGACCGUUUUACACUUACCUUUUAAAGCAAAGCCUCAUUUUCUAAACCCCUGACUUAUGAAGCACAAUUCAGCCUCCGGGCUGGGCCACGUGGAGAGAGAGGAUCUUCUUAGCAAGGCGAGAUCCCGGGCGGCGGCUGACAUCAGGAGCGCCGCCCCACGUCCUUUGCUGCUGGUUCCUUACUGGUUUGUACGGUCAGCGCUGGAACCUUCUAUUAAACGGAUGCAUUCUGGAGGCAUGAAGUU